GGGACACGUGGUAUCCUGUCUGAAUAUGGGGGGACCAUCCUCCAAGGCUAAAUACUCCUGACUGACCGAUAGUGAACCAGUACCGUGAGGGAAAGGCGAAAAGAACCCCGGCGAGGGGAGUGAAAAAGAACCUGAAACCGUGUACGUACAAGCAGUGGGAGCCUCUUAAUGGGGUGACUGCGUACCUUUUGUAUAAUGGGUCAGCGACUUAUAUUCUGUAGCAAGGUUAACCGAAUAGGGGAGCCGAAGGGAAACCGAGUCUUAACUGGGCGUUAAGUUGCAGGGUAUAGACCCGAAACCCGGUGAUCUAGCCAUGGGCAGGUUGAAGGUUGGGUAACACUAACUGGAGGACCGAACCGACUAAUGUUGAAAAAUUAGCGGAUGACUUGUGGCUGGGGGUGAAAGGCCAAUCAAACCGGGAGAUAGCUGGUUCUCCCCGAAAGCUAUUUAGGUAGCGCCUCGUGAAUUCAUCUCCGGGGGUAGAGCACUGUUUCGGCAAGGGGGUCAUCCCGACUUACCAACCCGAUGCAAACUGCGAAUACCGGAGAAUGUUAUCACGGGAGACACACGGCGGGUGCUAACGUCCGUCGUGAAGAGGGAAACAACCCAGACCGCCAGCUAAGGUCCCAAAGUCAUGGUUAAGUGGGAAACGAUGUGGGAAGGCCCAGACAGCCAGGAUGUUGGCUUAGAAGCAGCCAUCAUUUAAAGAAAGCGUAAUAGCUCACUGGUCGAGUCGGCCUGCGCGGAAGAUGUAACGGGGCUAAACCAUGCACCGAAGCUGCGGCAGCGACACUAUGUGUUGUUGGGUAGGGGAGCGUUCUGUAAGCCUGUGAAGGUGGCCUGUGAGGGUUGCUGGAGGUAUCAGAAGUGCGAAUGCUGACAUAAGUAACGAUAAAGCGGGUGAAAAGCCCGCUCGCCGGAAGACCAAGGGUUCCUGUCCAACGUUAAUCGGGGCAGGGUGAGUCGACCCCUAAGGCGAGGCCGAAAGGCGUAGUCGAUGGGAAACAGGUUAAUAUUCCUGUACUUGGUGUUACUGCGAAGGGGGGACGGAGAAGGCUAUGUUGGCCGGGCGACGGUUGUCCCGGUUUAAGCGUGUAGGCUGGUUUUCCAGGCAAAUCCGGAAAACCAAGGCUGAGGCGUGAUGACGAGGCACUACGGUGCUGAAGUGACAAAUGCCCUGCUUCCAGGAAAAGCCUCUAAGCAUCAGGUAACAUCAAAUCGUACCCCAAACCGACACAGGUGGUCAGGUAGAGAAUACCAAGGCGCUUGAGAGAACUCGGGUGAAGGAACUAGGCAAAAUGGUGCCGUAACUUCGGGAGAAGGCACGCUGAUAUGUAGGUGAAGCGACUUGCUCGUGGAGCUGAAAUCAGUCGAAGAUACCAGCUGGCUGCAACUGUUUAUUAAAAACACAGCACUGUGCAAACACGAAAGUGGACGUAUACGGUGUGACGCCUGCCCGGUGCCGGAAGGUUAAUUGAUGGGGUUAGCGGUAACGCGAAGCUCUUGAUCGAAGCCCCGGUAAACGGCGGCCGUAACUAUAACGGUCCUAAGGUAGCGAAAUUCCUUGUCGGGUAAGUUCCGACCUGCACGAAUGGCGUAAUGAUGGCCAGGCUGUCUCCACCCGAGACUCAGUGAAAUUGAACUCGCUGUGAAGAUGCAGUGUACCCGCGGCAAGACGGAAAGACCCCGUGAACCUUUACUAUAGCUUGACACUGAACAUUGAGCCUUGAUGUGUAGGAUAGGUGGGAGGCUUUGAAGUGUGGACGCCAGUCUGCAUGGAGCCGACCUUGAAAUACCACCCUUUAAUGUUUGAUGUUCUAACGUUGGCCCGUAAUCCGGGUUGCGGACAGUGUCUGGUGGGUAGUUUGACUGGGGCGGUCUCCUCCUAAAGAGUAACGGAGGAGCACGAAGGUUGGCUAAUCCUGGUCGGACAUCAGGAGGUUAGUGCAAUGGCAUAAGCCAGCUUGACUGCGAGCGUGACGGCGCGAGCAGGUGCGAAAGCAGGUCAUAGUGAUCCGGUGGUUCUGAAUGGAAGGGCCAUCGCUCAACGGAUAAAAGGUACUCCGGGGAUAACAGGCUGAUACCGCCCAAGAGUUCAUAUCGACGGCGGUGUUUGGCACCUCGAUGUCGGCUCAUCACAUCCUGGGGCUGAAGUAGGUCCCAAGGGUAUGGCUGUUCGCCAUUUAAAGUGGUACGCGAGCUGGGUUUAGAACGUCGUGAGACAGUUCGGUCCCUAUCUGCCGUGGGCGCUGGAGAACUGAGGGGGGCUGCUCCUAGUACGAGAGGACCGGAGUGGACGCAUCACUGGUGUUCGGGUUGUCAUGCCAAUGGCACUGCCCGGUAGCUAAAUGCGGAAGAGAUAAGUGCUGAAAGCAUCUAAGCACGAAACUUGCCCCGAGAUGAGUUCUCCCUGAGACUUAGAGUCUCCUGAAGGAACGUUGAAGACGACGACGUUGAUAGGCCGGGUGUGUAAGCGCAGCGAUGCGUUGAGCUAACCGGUACUAAUGAACCGUGAGGCUUAACCUU
rnacentral:rRNA from 1 species